rnacentral:lncRNA from 7 species
UGUCAGUACGAAAGCAGCAAGACUACAGGAUACAGCUGAUGGUUAGAAGGUUAAGCUCACAACACCAGAAAUGCUUGAAUGAGAAAGAAUGGAACAUCAUUAGAUGAUAAUGGAUCUCAAGCACUAUUGAGCUCACAAACCUCUACUGGACCAUUAAAAUCAACAAAUAUCAGUACUAAGAGUAUUCAGGAGAGAGCUUGCAAGCAAGUAGCACCCAAAACCAGGGCCAGAUUUUAAGAAAACUGAACCUGCAACAUAUUGAGCUUAUUUUGGACAUAAACACGAAUGAAGCCCUUCUGAAAAUCUGGACUUCAUUAGGAAUGCUGACUAUUAUUAAAAACCUGGCCUUCAUUGAAGGUUCUGAGUACUUGAAAACUCAGUGCUAUGUUCUCUUGAAUUUCCUGUUGGAAAGCUGGCUUUAUGCCAGAAAAGAAAUUACUUGAAACCUAUUUUAAAGGAAUUUUGAGUUAUAAAACUUGCUACUAACAUACCUUUAAAAGAUAUGUUUAAAUCAACUUUGUAGGAAAAAAAAAGGAGCUGUUUUGUUGUGUGACAACAUCAUUACAUAUCACACAUUCAGUGACGUAUGGAACCAGAGGAAUAAAAAUACAAGCAAAUACCUAUUAAGGAGUUGAAAACAAAGAGCACUUCAUCAUCCAUUUCUCCACAGACCAUGUUUUCACGAGGUCAAGCUAUGAAGUGACCACCUGACUGAUGCACACGAGAAAUGGAGGGCAGCAAGCCUGCACGAGAUGGCCCCAUCAAAAAUGAACCACAUAUGCAAAGCCAGCAUGUACAUUAAGUUCGCGCUGACAAGCUGCAGCUGGUUUCAGGUACACCAGUCGAUGAAGUCUACCAGGAUGUGGUCAACAAUAUAGUAAGCUACACAUAGUAUGACUUUCCCCACAGGUCUUUGCAGCAAACCCACAGCUUUUUUGGAGUGUUGCUAUUUAGCCUGGAGAAAAGAUGACGUAAGGGAGAAUUAAACCCUCUGUGAAGGUUUUUGAGAAGAUGGAGCCAAACUCUUCACAGCAGGUCAAGAAGAGGCAUACAGAUAUACUGAAAUGCAACCUGCACCCCUAGAGGUUUCCAUUAUAGCCCCCUGGACAAAGCUCUAACCUGGUCUGAAUUCAGUGGCCAGGCUUUGAACAGAAUGCUGGACUAGAGUCAUCCUAAGAUUGCUUCAAACCAGAAUUAUUCAACUGAGUUAUUCAAUCAUUUUAAGAUUCUAUGAUUGUCUUUUAAAUUCUCUCCCUGUAUGAAGAUAUAUCUGGAAGCACUGACUUGUUAUAAGAUGUUGAUCUGAAGAAUGAUCAUAAGCAGUCAUUACCAGGAUUUGUCAUUGAUGAUGCUGUAAUAAAGUUUUGAGUCUGAAUGUGUUCAUUCAGAUAGUU